AUGCAGAGUAUCCAUCACUGCUUUUGGGUGUACUUUGCAGUUACAGCUGCAGCUGCAUGCUGGGUGUUUGUUGGUUGCUUCAGCAGUGCUUUGAUUGCUGCAAAUCUAGCAAGUUGCCUGACAGCUCCAUAUCUCAUGGUCUGCAUGAUUUCUAGCACCGCAUGUGACGGCCAUCUCCUGGUAUCUUCGCUGCAUUUUCCAAGGCCUACAACAGUUAGUAACCAUCAGGUCGCCAACUUCAGUGAGAAAGUCUGCCCAUGGCUUCAGAUUGACAGGGUCAUUGCUAGCAGUAUCAAAUUUUGUUUGCUAAACACAAGUCUUGAUGAGAUGUUGUGUCAUAGAACUGAUUUCUGUACAUUCGCCGGUUUUCCGAUCCCAAUACAAAUAUCAACAGGUUUAUCUUUGGGUGACCAAGACACACCAGCCUUUUCUCCAGAAGUGUUGAACUAUUUUCAGACGCAAAAUGGGGAACAAUUAAGGAAAAACUCUGGCUAUAUUCAGGAGCUACAAACUGCAAGCUGCUGCUGUAGCGCUACAUGUGUCACAAUAUGGCUUGGAUAUUGGCAAGGCAUCACUACAGAGCUCAGGAAUGCCCUCUCUACUUCCUCUGAAGCAUUUCUUCUAAGCAAGCACAUGACAUACUCCAUCACUGCUGCAUUGAAGGGCAGCGUGAUCCUGCCGUCGCAUGUGAACCCAAACUCCUCUUGA
rnacentral:rRNA from 1 species